CUGUCCUCUCGAAAACCCCUUCACGAUGACUUUGAGAAAUAAGUGAUUGAAAGACCUCUGCUGACUGGUAGAUUUGUGCAAAAAGGCAGAUGAUAUGAUUAUGUUUUGACAAGAGACUGACCUGUGAUAAUUCCAGAAGUCAAUUAAAUACAUUUCUUGAAAGAAAAGAGGAAGUACAGUGAAGUAAGAACAGGGAAUACACACAGCAGAAUCCAAGCACUCCAGUUGGCUGAGCUUUCUGCAGGUGGAAACGUUGCUCUCAGCUCAUAAGGAUCUUUAAGGGGAAAAAAAAAAACCCGAAUAAAAAACCCCACAAAAAGCACAAGCAACAAAAGAAACAAAUUCUCUGUAAGUGCUCCUCCGUCCAUACAAUCAGAAUGAGAGGGGAAAAACAUUCUGAGAAGUAUUCCAACCCACACCCAGCACUUACGGUGCUCCAGAGGAAAAAAGCGUGAGGAGUAAAGGAGUAGUUGCAGCAGGAUGCUCUGCCUGGAGCGGGGGUAAAACAACUCUGACAACACCCUGUCAGCGGUGGAUGGAGAAGGGGGUGUCUCCGUGCUCUUACUGUUGAACAAUGCUGAGACUCGCCCGACUCAUCAUUGGCAAAUUCAAACAUCCUGAGAGCGAGGUGAGGAUGUGGCAGGUGUUCCUGAUAAGUGAACAACAAGUGAUACUACUGAUAACUUAUCUGAGGCUGCUGAGCUGGGGACAGCGGGCCCGGGGACAUCUGGCUGACAGUCCAUCCCCUGAUACUGUAAAAGCCGAGGUCCAUUUUUUAAAGGCAGGAUAUUAUCACACACCCCCUCCUUGGAGCGUGUGUGGAGACUCCUCCCUGGAGAGGGGACUCCCCUCCAGGUUAUCUCUUGAAGCUAAAGGCAGAUAUUUGCCCCCAUCUGGGUGUGGAUGAGCAAUACCAAACUCUAGUUAAAAACUGAUUUUUCUAGCUUCACUACAAUUGCUUCGGUAUUAUUUCAAAAAUACUGCACUAUGCUAUACAGCAGCCAUAGUUACCUGUAUUGUGUAGUAAAGAAUUCUGAUUGAGAUGUUGUAGUCCAAUCAUUAUCAUAAUCUUACAAAAAAUAGGUAAAAAUAAAAACUCCUUAAUACCAAUGUAGAAUUAAGAAGCAGCCAUUCUUUAUUCAGCAGGAUGCACAAAAUCUCCUCUGAAAUACUGAGCCUGCUGAGUGCAGGAAAAUCUCCUGUUGAUACACUGUAUUUUACAUACAUAUUCAUAGGUUUUCCCAGGAAAAACAUACAAAUGAUAACAAUUUCCCUGAAAUCAUUGGCAUGGAGGUGCUCCCUCCCCUAUGCUCAUACAUUCUUCUGUCCUGGGGGUCUCUGUGGUGGUCCCUGGUUGGUGACCCCAAGUCACACCUGACUGCCCAGUGAACUGGUGAAACUUGGCACAGCUGGGCUGGUUGCCUUCCUUUCCUUCUUCCUACAGAAUGAGCAUUGUGUGGUUCCAUAGGCCAGUGAUUUUUGAAGAAUAAGCAUUGUAUUUACCCACCAGGUGCAAACAAUUAUUCACCUGGCAACUGUAAUAAAUAACUUACUUUCACAU